rnacentral:rRNA from 1 species
AAGGAUCGCAGCAGGCGCGAAACUUGCUCACUUCCCGGGGGGAGAAGCAGUGAGGAGACAUGCGGGGAAAGAGCGGGCAGCAAAGGAGCGCGCGAGGAGCGAUUGGAGGGCAAGACUGGUGCCAGCAGCCGCGGUAAUACCAGCUUCAAAAGUGUCUGUGGUGUUUGUUGUGAUUAAAAGGUCCGCAGUCGGGGAGAGAGGCCGUGGGGAAAGCAGGCGGCUCAAAGGGAGAGGCAAGCACGGAAAGAACGCGUCAAGAGGGGCAGGCGGGGGCAGGAGAAUUCAGCAGCCAGAGGUGAAAUUCGCAGACUUGCUGGGGGCGGACAGAGGCGAAGGCGCCUGCCAAGGACGCUUUCAUUGAUCAGGGACGAAGGCCGGAGGAUCGAAGACGAUUAGAGACCGUUGUAGUUCCGGCGAUAAACGAUGCCAACUCGGGGGCGUGCGGCCGGGAGGGCGCGGGCGCCCGGAGAGAAAUCGAGUUCGAAGGCUUUAGGGAAAGUACAGUCGCAAGGCAGAAAUUUAAACGGAAAUUGGCGGAUUAAUACACCAGGAGUGGAGCAUGCGGCUUAAUUUGACUCAACACGGGGCAGCUUACCGCUGGAAGACGCUGGGGGGAUCGGGGCGAGAUUUGGCAGAGAAGUGGUGCAUGGCCGCUCUUGGUCCGUGGGGUGACCUGUCAGGUUGAAUCCGCUAACGGGCGCGACGCGCGUGCGCAGGCAAGGGCGCAGACGGCCGGCGCGCAGCCGGAGGAGGGCGGGCGAUAGCAGGUCCGUGAUGCCCUUUGAAGCAGCGGGCUGCACGCGUGUUACAGUGUGCGCAGGAGUGUGGUGCGCCGAGAGGCG